UACAGAGGGGGCAAGCGUUAUUCGGAAUUACUGGGCGUAAAGGGUGUGUAGGCGGCCUGGCAAGUGGAAGGUGAAAUCCCUCGGCUUAACCGAGGAACUGCCUCCCAAACUGCUUGGCUUGAGACCAGGAGAGGUGAGUGGAAUUCCCAGUGUAGCGGUGAAAUGCGUAGAUAUUGGGAAGAACACCAGUGGCGAAGGCGGCUCGCUGGCCCGUAACUGACGCUGAGGUGCGAAAGCGUGGGGAGCAAACAGG
rnacentral:rRNA from 1 species